GGUGGGAUUAGCUAGUUGGUGAGGUAAGGGCUCACCAAGGCGACGAUCCCUAGCUGGUCUGAGAGGAUGAUCAGCCACACUGGAACUGAGACACGGUCCAGACUCCUACGGGAGGCAGCAGUGGGGAAUAUUGCACAAUGGGCGCAAGCCUGAUGCAGCCAUGCCGCGUGUGUGAAGAAGGCCUUCGGGUUGUAAAGCACUUUCAGUCGUGAGGAAGGUAGUGUAGUUAAUAGCUGCAUUAUUUGACGUUAGCGACAGAAGAAGCACCGGCUAACUCCGUGCCAGCAGCCGCGGUAAUACGGAGGGUGCGAGCGUUAAUCGGAAUUACUGGGCGUAAAGCGCAUGCAGGUGGUUUGUUAAGUCAGAUGUGAAAGCCCGGGGCUCAACCUCGGAAUUGCAUUUGAAACUGGCAGACUAGAGUACUGUAGAGGGGGGUAGAAUUUCAGGUGUAGCGGUGAAAUGCGUAGAGAUCUGAAGGAAUACCGGUGGCGAAGGCGGCCCCCUGGACAGAUACUGACACUCAGAUGCGAAAGCGUGGGGAGCAAACAGGAUUAGAUACCCUGGUAGUCCACGCCGUAAACGAUGUCUACUUGGAGGUUGUGGCCUUGAGCCGUGGCUUUCGGAGCUAACGCGUUAAGUAGACCGCCUGGGGAGUACGGUCGCAAGAUUAAAACUCAAAUGAAUUGACGGGGGCCCGCACAAGCGGUGGAGCAUGUGGUUUAAUUCGAUGCAACGCGAAGAACCUUACCUACUCUUGACAUCCAGAGAACUUUCCAGAGAUGGAUUGGUGCCUUCGGGAACUCUGAGACAGGUGCUGCAUGGCUGUCGUCAGCUCGUGUUGUGAAAUGUUGGGUUAAGUCCCGCAACGAGCGCAACCCUUAUCCUUGUUUGCCAGCGAGUAAUGUCGGGAACUCCA
rnacentral:rRNA from 1 species